GUUCGUUCCUGAACAUAUACUACAAUUCGAACAAUACAGAAAAGAUUAGAAGAGCCCCUUCACAAGAAUGACACUCAAAUUCGUUAACUGUUCCAAAAUUUU
rnacentral:snRNA from 1 species